GGUUCUAUAGUCUAGUGGUCAGGACGUCGGAUUUUGAAAACUCCUUACUGGAGUUGAAGCCUUCCGAAAGCACGAGUUCGAACCUCGUUAGGACCU